rnacentral:rRNA from 1 species
AUUGAACGCUGGCGGCAUGCCUAACACAUGCAAGUCGAACGGCAGCACGGUCUAGCUUGCUAGACGGGUGGCGAGUGGCGAACGGGUGAGUAACGCGUAGGAAUAUACCUUGAAGUGGGGGACAACCUGGGGAAACUCAGGCUAAUACCGCGUAUCUCUUCGGAGGGAAGCUGGGGACCGCAAGGCCUGGCGCUUUAAGAUUAGCCUGCGUCCGAUUAGCUAGUUGGUGGGGUAAAGGCCUACCAAGGCGACGAUCGGUAGCUGGUCUGAGAGGAUGAUCAGCCACACUGGGACUGAGACACGGCCCAGACUCCUACGGGAGGCAGCAGUGGGGAAUAUUGGACAAUGGGGGGAACCCUGAUCCAGCAAUGCCGCGUGUGUGAAGAAGGCCUGAGGGUUGUAAAGCACUUUCGGCGGGGAGGAGGAUGAGUUGGUUAAGAGCUGACUUAUUGGACGUUACCCGCAUAAGAAGCACCGGCUAACUCCGUGCCAGCCGCCGCCGUAAGAC